GGCUCAGGAUGAACGCUAGCUACAGGCUUAACACAUGCAAGUCGCGGGGCAGCAUUUCUUUAGCUUGCUAAGGAAGAUGGCGACCGGCGCACGGGUGAGUAACGCGUAUCCAACCUUCCCUUGUCCACGGGAUAGCCCGUCGAAAGGCGGAUUAAUACCGUAUGAGGUCACAUGCUGGCAUCAAAGUGUGACGAAAGGUUUGGCGGUGAAGGAUGGGGAUGCGUCUGAUUAGCUUGUUGGUGAGGUAACGGCUCACCAAGGCGACGAUCAGUAGGGGUUCUGAGAGGAAGGUCCCCCACAUUGGAACUGAGACACGGUCCAAACUCCUACGGGAGGCAGCAGUGAGGAAUAUUGGUCAAUGGGCGAGAGCCUGAACCAGCCAAGUAGCGUGCAGGAUGACGGCCCUAUGGGUUGUAAACUGCUUUUAUAAGGGAAUAAAGUGAGUCUCGUGAGACUUUUUGCAUGUACCUUAUGAAUAAGGACCGGCUAAUUCCGUG
rnacentral:rRNA from 1 species